rnacentral:rRNA from 1 species
UACGUAGGGGGCAAGCGUUGUCCGGAUUUAUUGGGCGUAAAGAGCGUGUAGGCGGCUAGAUAGGUCCGUUGUGAAAACUCGAGGCUCAACCUCGAGACGUCGAUGGAAACCAUCUGGCUAGAGUCCGGAAGAGGAGAGUGGAAUUCCUGGUGUAGGCGGUGGAAAUGACGCAGAUAUCAGGAAGAACACCCGUGGCGAAGGCGGCUCUCUGGCAGUAACUGACGCUGAGGAGCGAAGCGUGGGAGCGAACAGGAUAGAACCCU